GGUGCCAUGAAGAUUGACAUAUAGCAAGCCAAUUAAGUUGAAGUAGAGCGGGGAAUUGACAACCUCUGAUAGACGGAAUAGGGAGAUUGUUCCCCUACUUGGGCUAUUUUGGUCCAAUAUUUAUAAACUGUAGGAACUUCUGGGAAGAUGGUGGAAUGGUGAACACUAGAGAAAAAGCCUCUUUGAGGUUUGGUGUCCAGAUGCUGGAAGAAAGCAAUGUGAGGAAGAGAAGAAGGAGAGAAGUGGGUCCCUGGGACCCAGCAAGGAUCUGAAGUGAGAAUUGAAGUCCAUGGGGAGAGCAAAGGGAGACUUCAACAAAGAAGAAGGAGGUGGCAAGAGGCACUUUUUCCCUGAGCCCUGACUCACCACAUGGGAAGGGUGGCUUGAACCUGCAGACACAUGGUGACUACUGGUGACGCCAGAGGCCUGCACAGAGAAAUGCACCAGUAGAAUGGAAUAGUGGAUGCAGCAGACUGCAGUGUCUGCACAAGGAGAUUUGGACAACAAGGACUCAUGAAGGACAGCACAUGUCAAGGCUGGGGAGAAGAAGAGGAGCCAAGAAGGAGCAGCCAGGGAGUAUACAUUUGUGAUCCAGAAAUACAUUCAGCAUGAGGAACUGCUACCGAAGUAAGACAGCAAAUCAACAAUCUAAGUUUCUUCAUCAAGAAAUUAGAAAACAAAGACCAAAAUCAAACCAAAACAAGCCUGAGGAAGGAACUAAUGAAGGUAAGAGGAGAAAUCAAUGUGAUUGAAAACUAGAAAACGAGAGAAUCAAUGAAACAAAAACCUCUUGAAGAUUGACUGUUAGGAAGAAUUUAGCAUGCAAUUUGUUUAUCAAGGAGUGUCUUUGGGUCAACAUGGAUAGAAGGGAUGGGAAGUCUUUUUUUAUUUUUGUUUUUUUUCUGUUAACACUGAUCAAUCCUCCAAUACUGACACCAGCCACCUGGAGUUCACAUAGAUUCUACAAGUGCAAGGACUGUAUGUCACUAAAAGGAAAUACUUCAGAUGCCAGCCUCAAGAGGGUGCUCAGGUAGCCAUACUUCUGCCCUGAACACCCAAUGUAUUCCCCACAACCUGCUCACAGGCUGGAUAUUUCCAGAUGACUUACAGUGCUCAGAAGAACAUUUUCCUUACUUACAUUUAUGAGUUUAUUUUAAAGAGUAGACCCCCAAAUAGAAGACCCAAUCAGGAAAUGGAAAAGUGGGACACUUCAAAGAAGCAGUACAAAUGGCCCAUAAAUCCAUGAAGAAAUGCUCAACAUCCCUGGUGAUAUUAGAGAAAUGCAGAUUAAAACAACACUGAGAUUCCAUCUUACUCCAGAGAGAAGGACUAUCUUCAAGAAAUCAAGGAAUGGCAAAUGCUGGUGAGGCUGUGAGCGAAAAUGAACCCCUCUACGUUGUUGGUGGGAAUGUGAACUGGUAUAACCACUCUGGAAGUCAGUAUGGAGAUUCCUCAAAAAGCAAACUAGAAAUUCUAUCUGACCCAGCUAUUCCCCUUCUAGUUAUCUUC
rnacentral:lncRNA from 1 species